rnacentral:rRNA from 1 species
GAUGAACGCUGGCGGCGUGCCUAAUACAUGCAAGUCGAGCGAACAGAUGAGGAGCUUGCUCCUCUGACGUUAGCGGCGGACGGGUGAGUAACACGUGGAUAACCUACCUAUAAGACUGGGAUAACUUCGGGAAACCGGAGCUAAUACCGGAUAAUAUAUUGAACCGCAUGGUUCAAUAGUGAAAGACGGUUUUGCUGUCACUUAUAGAUGGAUCCGCGCCGCAUUAGCUAGUUGGUAAGGUAACGGCUUACCAAGGCAACGAUGCGUAGCCGACCUGAGAGGGUGAUCGGCCACACUGGAACUGAGACACGGUCCAGACUCCUACGGGAGGCGGCAGUAGGGAAUCUUCCGCAAUGGGCGAAAGCCUGACGGAGCAACGCCGCGUGAGUGAUGAAGGUCUUCGGAUCGUAAAACUCUGUUAUUAGGGAAGAACAAAUGUGUAAGUAACUAUGCACGUCUUGACGGUACCUAAUCAGAAAGCUACGGCUAACUACGUG